AUAAUACUCCCUCCGUCCCAAAAUUCUUGUCUUAGAUUUGCCUAGAUACGGAUGUAUCUAAUACUAAAACAUGACUUGAUACAUCCGUAUUUAGACAAAUCUAAGACAAGAAUUUCUGGACGGAGGGAGUAGGAC
rnacentral:pre_miRNA from 1 species